ACCACAUCCAGAUUCCUUUGGUGUGAGACUGCACUGUGGAGCCCAGAGAGAAGCCUACAAGUACAGAGGAUAGGAUUAUGGAUGGAUAUUUACUAGCAGGAAAUGGUCUUGAGAAGAGAGGUGGAAGGGAGAGAUUUGCCAGGUCCUCUGACAAUCAUUCCACACUCUGGAGUUGCUUCAUUCCAGUGCAGUUGAAGUCUGAAGAACAUUCUAAUAAAUGAAAAGUUUCAGGACUUUGUCCACUUCUAUUCAUGAAUAGAAGAUUUCUGGAGUCACUUCAGGACAACUUGAAACUAUUUUCAUUUUGCACAAACCUUAAAUUGAAAGUGAAAGCAGGAAUGAGGGCUGCAUGAUGUACUGUGUCCCACCCUGUAUCAGAAUGAAUUGAAAGGUGGGAGGCCAUCAGCAUCACAGCUGCAGACUUGGAGUGGCCAGUCAGAGCCCCAGCAUGUUUUCAGCUAACACUAGAAAACCUCCCACAUUCUGCAGGAGAAUAAUGGAACUCAUCUUCAUUUUCUCUUUCCUUUGAAGGGUAUGGAGUUUAUUUAUUUGAAUUAUUUGAGUACUGUGCUUUUGUUCUAGUGGUUGAUUCUAAUGGAACAAAGAAGUCAUCACAAACUAGUAUACAAUAAGAUAGUUCUGCAGGUGAAUUCUCUGGGAAGCAAAUGGUGUGGAAGUCCCUAUUAGAUAUUUUGGGCUGUCCUUAGUUCAGUAGUAUGCCUCAUCUCUCAGGUCAGGAUGUCUUGGAGGUUGGGCUCCUUGCUUUCUUUGAUAUAAGCACUGGAGAAUGAACUAGAACUGAUGUAUUGCCAAAACCUGGAGAUAGUCUUGAAAAUCUUACAGGCAGCCUACUUGUUUUAAUGGACAAACACAAAUAUUGUAUUUGUACUGACUAGCUCCUCAAGAACACACAGCUCCAAAUGAUUAUGUUACAAAGACUGUUAAAAGCAGAUACAUAAGUAACUAACAUCAUUUUUCUUAAUAAAAAUCACUAAAAAUUGUGUCAUGCCAUUAAGCAUGACUAUUGGAUUAUAAACACCUUUUUCAAUAUAGCAGUCAUUAAAAACCACAACAUGUUCACUCUACAGAUCUGCCAAAUGGGAAAAGGCAGAUUAUAUUGUGGUUUGAUGAGCUGUGAAG